GACAGCAGCUGGCGGGCUGUCAGAGUGCUGCUGUAGGGAACUGGAGACAGAGUGAACAAACUUGUACUGUAGCGCACAUGUCAUGUGUAGACAGCAUGUUGUUAGUGGUACUGAAGAGUAAAGGAGCACACCAGCGUCUAACUGGACCUCAGUGACACUCACAGAUAAGAAGAAGAAGACUUGGCUGUGGCUCUUCCUCUGCUCUGUCUAAGACGUGGAGACAAAGGAUCUCCUGAAGCACUCAGUCCUGCAGCGCAGCAACAUGAGCUGCUUUUCUGACCUGCAUUGUGUUGUGGACACAGUUACUGCCUUAUGCUGACUGGAGAUGAAUCUCAACCUAGCAGCAGCGGCAGCAGCCAGGCUAUGA